CCCUAAAAACAAGCCCCGAAAAAGCCUUUGUUUUUAAGGUCUGGGCGAGUGCUACUCACUGUCCAAACUACAGAACAACCGUGUCAAGGAGCCCGCCAUUCUUGCUAAAACACACGUUCACUGCCAGGCAUCAUCUAAGCUUCUGAGUCAGAAUCUCUUGGGGUGGAGUCCAGGAAUCCGUAUUUUUAACAAGCUCCCCAGAUAAUGCUUAAACAUAUCGAUGCUUAAAACCAGAGCUCUAAACCUAGAUCGAGCAGAUCCACGUGGGGGUGAGGAGGAGGCUGAGUGCUCAGGGGUGGGAGGAGAAGAGGGACCCACCCAGGGGAGGGCAAAGACCUCAGGAGUAGUGAGGAGGGGGCUGAGGAAGACCCCUGGAGGCCUGAGCUGUGUGCAGCAGAGUGGAGUCCCAGGGCCACCCCAACAGGAGAUGACUUCAGCAGACCUUGAAGAAGAUCUCAGCACCAGGCAAGCAGGACCCAUGGCCAACGAAGCCCUGGGGAGUGGGGCCAGGUGUGACUGAGUGACAAGUCCUCGGAAACGUGCCUGGGGAGGACAGUCCCCAGAUGACUGAUAUCAGCCACCCCAUCUUUCUCAGUGAGUCAGGGAUCAAAGGAGAUUUAUUUCUCAAGAAAAAUGAAGAGAUGUGGCACGCCUUGCUCCUGGGUGCAUGGAGCUAUUCAUCCCUGUCACACGUUUUGACAAAUUGCGAUGAGCCCAGAAAAGGGCUCACCUGGGCAGCUGACAUUUGUGCUGCAGGACAGAGAAAGCCAUGCUCCAGGCAGCACAGUGGGAAGGGGGAGGGCUUCGAGUGUCCCCGGAGGAACUGAGUGAAAUGGGGGCUGGAGACAGAGACCCCGUCCAGGCCACACAGAUCAAUUUGCCAACGUCUUCCUCAACCUUGAAAUACUGGAGUCUGUUUAUAGGCCAGUUGCGAAUCCUCCAGGUUCGGGAAGACUGUACUUGAAACGCUUUUAUGAAACAGCACAGUUGUGAAAUGCACCCAUAUGCUUUCUCCAGACACAUUCUUCAACUACUCUUUUCAGCAAUGCAUCUCAGAAAGCUUCAUCAACAAAAUCAAUCCAGAUUCAGAAUCCUGGAAGAAGGGAGAGGCUACGCAGAAUCACCUCACACAGUCCAAAGAACAGCCAUUUGCAGAGAAAAGCACAAAACCGUCUUCAACCUGCAUGGCAGUCCCACAUGGGAAGGAAGCACAGGACAACAUCUACUCCGAAAAACAGGCUAGCGGCUUCCCUGCCAAGAAUGCCAUCACCUAAGCAAUCGGGCUCAGAAUAUCUACACAGAGAAGUCAACUCCCCAUUAGCUAAACUCAUAAAGGGACACUGUGGAAUUGAAUGAUGGUGAAUACUUCAGAAACCAUUCGUUCCUGGCUUUCUAAGCAUUUUCCUGCACACUGUUGAACAUUGGCCAAGCAACUGUCUAACGGUCUGCAGACACCCUUUGGAAAGAGCAGCAAGGCCUGCUCUGAGGAUAACUCGGGGGCGGGGCUGGGAAGCCCUCCAGGUCUGCAGCCCCAGCUUCACUGGCCGUUGACGUAAAGCAGCCGCCUGGCAGGGCCACCUCCUCAAAGGACCCAUCCUAGCCACUCAGGUCCAUCCCGCAACCAGCCCCCACUCGCUCUUUCAAACGGUACCCACCCACCCACUCAACCAACUGCUCAACUCUGGGCCUGGAAAGGGACAGGUGGGGCCCAAUCCACCAGAGGGGACAGGGCCGGGUCGUGUCCUGCCCUGCUCCAUCAUAGCCCCUCCCAUGCCCCCAACAGACUUGCCCACCCCAGGGUUAUAUUAGUUUCAUCCAAAAUUCUUUUUUUUUUCUUUAAUUAAAUGGUACUUGAGGAACAUAGAAAGUUUCCUCCAAUAUUCUAAAGUCAUGUUGACUGUAUGAUUGUACUUUAUGAAAUGAAAUAAGAUUAUGAAUCCAGGAGAAGCUGAAGUUCAGUUACCACCCAAUCAUGACCUUUAGAGGGACAGCAAUGCAGUCAGGUGGUCCACAGUCCAAGCUCGACUCCCUCACUUUAACCAUAACAUACACUUAAAAUCAGCCAGCUGUGUCUCAAGCUCGGAACAUGAUUGAUUCUUAUUCUUUCCAUCUUUAUAAGAACCCAUGAGGUGGGUAAUACGAUUACCAACAUCUUCCUUUUAUCGAUGGAGAAAUUCGGGCACAGGAGGGUUGAGUGAAGCAUCCAAGGUCACAUGGCUGCCAAUGGGCAGAGCUGGGACUCGAACCCAGGCCAGCUGGCCCAGAUAAGGUGCCAGGUGCCCCUCGACUCCCCUGCCUCUCUCCCAAGCAAGCUCCUGCCUGCCUCACUGCACAGCUCUGUGUGUUAGCUGCAAUCCCGUGCCCUCACUGUCCUCACCAGGCUGCCCUGAGGAUCCCUGAGAUGGCAAUGGGAAGACUGGCACACAGGACUCAGCCCCACACAUAGAGUCGCACAGGAUGCAGUCUCCACACACAGAGCCACA
rnacentral:lncRNA from 1 species